rnacentral:lncRNA from 1 species
ACCCACGUGGCUCUCCUCUCCCUCGCACUUCCGGGUUCUCAGGGAACGUGCGCACCAGCGUGCGUGCGCGUGACCGCCGCAAGCAACGGGCUCGUGAGCGCGCUGCUGCCUGGACCGCGCCUGGGCCUUAGAGAGAACACCCGUAAGGGCCAAGGAAGGAGGAAAGCGGCCCGUCUUCAGCUCCUGAGCAACGUCGGCUCUUCGGUUCCCGCAGCGCUGACUAUUCGGACCUUUAGGGCAGAACGACAGACGUUCAACUCGCUGCACCGCGGACCUGACUGCGUUCUGAGCUUUCUAGUGGCAGGCGCUUGACAAUGCAAAACCUGAAUCUGGUAAGUCUAUUUCCAUGACUCCCACUUACUCACACAGUCUUGAGGCUGUUUCUAAUUCUGCAGCCCUAGAAACCUCAAGUUGUCUGGUUCUGGUUCACUGUAAAGGCAUGGGGAUGCUUUUUGAUAUCGUAGUGAACCAGAGUAUCUAAAACCUGAAGUAUCCCAAGUUAAAGAUGUCCUGGCUCAUUCCUAUUAGUGUCUUUAGGAUGGAAGAUCGCUCCAGAUCUGGCCAGACUGCUUGCAAGUUGCUGCAGACUGUACUGCCAUUCAUGAGCAUAGACUAAAACUGAACUAGCAUAAGCAACAGAAUGAAAAAGCAACCUAAGGAAAUCAUAUAUCUGAUAAGGGUGUAAUAUCCACAUUAUAUAAAGAAGUCCUACGGCACAGCAACAAAAAACGUAUAUCCCAAUUUUAUUUCUUCCUUUUUAAAAUUUAUUUUUAUUUUUUUAAUUUUAGGUAGGCUCCACACACAAUGUGGGCAUUGAACUCAUGACCUUGAGAUCAAGAGUCACAUACUCUACCAACUGAGCCAGCCAGACACCCCAUAUGUCCCAAUUUCAAAAUGGGCAAAGAAGAUAUACAAAUGGGCAACAAGCAUAUGAAACAAUGCUCAAUAUCACUAAUCAAAACCACAGUGAAAUGUCACCUUGUACUCAUUAGGAUACCUACUAUCAAAAAAUCAGAA